rnacentral:rRNA from 1 species
AUUGAACGCUGGCGGCAUGCCUUACACAUGCAAGUCGAACGGUAACGGGCCUUCGGGUGCCGACGAGUGGCGAACGGGUGAGUAAUACAUCGGAACGUGCCCGAUCGUGGGGGAUAACGAGGCGAAAGCUUUUCUAAUACCGCAUACGAUCUACGGAUGACAGCAGGGGACCGCAAGGCCUUGCGCGGACGGAGCGGCCGAUGGCAGAUUAGGUAGUUGGUGGGAUAAAAGCUUACCAAGCCGACGAUCUGUAGCCGGUCUGAGAGGAUGAUCAGCCACACUGGGACUGAGACACGGCCCAGACUACUAAGGGAGGCAGCAGUGGGGAAUUUUGGACAAUGGGCGCAAGCCUGAUCCAGCCAUGCCGCGUGCAGGAUGAAGGCCUUCGGGUUGUAAACUGCUUUUGUACGGAACGAAAAGCCUUCUUUUAAUACAGGAGGGUCAUGACGGUACCGUAAGAAUAAGCACCGGCUAACUACGUG